GGGAGACUCCGUCUCAAAGAAAAAAAAAAAGUAUGGUGCCAGGCUUAAUACUUAGAAAGUGCUAGAGCAGCCUCUAUUAGGGGAUCUCUUCUCUGAUUGUACUCCACUUGCUGUAACACCAAAGGAUGCAGAACCAGGUUCUGUAGCAGAAAUUGCUGGUGUCUGUGGCAGGGGAGGGCACCUGAGGACAGGGAAGAAGAAACAUAUUUUUAUCUUUAUGGAGCAGCACAUUGUUCCCAAAUACCUUCUGCUUUAAGGGACAGAAAUGGAUGGACUUUUUCUGUCUUUUCUGCCAGUUGAUGUCAUGCUUGCAGGUAAACAUGUGGUACUGACACCCUUAAAGGCAUAUUCUCAAGAGGCAGGUAAAAAACCAAUUCCAAAAAAGUAUUGCAACAAAAGGAAGCACCAAAUAACUAUAAUAUCUUUAUGGCUUGCAAAAAUAUAGGCAGAAAAGGGCUUUCUUUUCUAGGGAAGAGCAAACAAGAUUAGAAAGGAGGUGGGAGAGGAACAGCAAAUGGAGGGUGAAAAAGUCAGAUUUUAGAUCAGAGAAUGGCUUACCCUGAAAUCAGCAUGUUCUUAGGAGGGACAUAAAAUGGGGUUGUAUGUUGACUCAGACUGAGGGUAGCUUGAAUUUCAGGAGCCUGAGAGAAGAUAAACUUAAGUAAAAUUUGAUUAAGAAAUAUUUUAUUUUAGGCUGGGUGUGGUGGCUCAAGUCUGCAAUCCCAGCACUUUGGGAGGCUGAGGCAGGCGGAUCACCAGAGGUCAGGAGUUCAAGACCAGCCUGGCCAACAUGGUGAAACCCUGUCUACUAAAAAUACAAAAAUUAGCUGGGCGUUGUGGCAGGUGCCUGUAAUCCCAGAUACUUGGGAGGCUGAGGUAGGAAAAUUGCUUGAGCCCUGGAGGUGAAAGCUGAAGUGAGCCGAGAUGGCCCCACUACACUCCAGCCUGGGUGACAGAGUGACACUCCAUCUCAAAAAAAAAAAAAAUCAUAAUUGAUUUUGACUGCUGAAGGCAAAUUCAGCUGGUUUUUUGUUUUUUUUUUAAUGAGAAAAAGGAGAAAAUGUGCAGAGUGUAUGUCUGGCUGUGUGAUAGGCAAGAAAAGGGAGCAUCAUCUUAAUCAUAACGGGAAGAGUGUUUCUUUCCAUAAACUGUUCCUGAAGCACACAAAGGAAGGAGAAUUUUAUUAAUCACAAAUAUUUUUCAUAAUUAUCUAUGUGUUUCAUCUUUCCUCAUCUCUUUUCUUUGUUCUAUGCAUUUCUUCCACUUGGCUUUUCCUGGGCUGCAUCUUAUAUAUUAAACCAGUAAGCAUAACUACAGUGUUUUGCUGAGUUCUGUGAGUAGCUCUACCAAAUUACUGAGCUUCAGGGAAGUUAUGGGAGUCCCCAGUUUUUAAACAGUAGCUCAGAACCAUAGAUGGGCCCAUGGGAUUUAUGACUGGCAUCUGCAGUGAGAACAAUGUUGUGGGACCGAGCCCUGAAUCAGGGUCUGUGCUGACUCUGGGUAGUGUUAGAAAUCAAAUGUUAUACAAUAAGUUGGUGUUGGAGAAUUGUUUGAUGUUCAGCAAAUGCUACAGAUUUGGUGCCAGAAAGAAGAUAUCAUGGAGGCCUGGCCUGGAAUAAAACUCUGGGUGUUUGGGAAUGGGAGAUUCUGCUCUCCUGUACACAGAUUGUCACACUGCCCAUUGUCCUGUGAUUCCAGGUCUUCUCCCAGGGUGACAGAGGACUGAAAACUUACAGGAAAGGAGCUCUGAUGACACAUCCCCUUUUCUUGCAGCUGCCACCACAGGAUUCCCACAUACUCCCAAACACACACACUAGACAUUGACAUGUCCACACUCCUCCCAGGACUAGGCACCACCCUCAGUGACUUCACCAUGACAUUUUUGGUCCAAGCACUUCUAGCCAAAAAGCCAAAAGUAUCUACAAGUUUCCUUGCAUAUUCCCAUCCCCGGAUAUCGAAUCUGCAGCAGCAACCUGUUUUCUCCACCAGCCUAGGGUUCUGGCCCUCCUUUUCAUAAUCUCAUCUGCCUGCAUGCACACAGAAAUAAAUCAGAGUACAGCCCCACCUGGUCAACUAUCUGUAGCAAAAAUCUGUCCAUUCACUGACAUUGCACUCUCUCUCACCUGGGGAUUUUUUUUCUUUUUUUUUUUAAUUUAUUUUUUUUAUUGAUCAUUCUUGGGUGUUUCUCGCAGAGGGG
rnacentral:lncRNA from 1 species